rnacentral:lncRNA from 1 species
CCGAGGGCUGUGGCAGGCAAGGUGAAUGUGAUCCCUAGACCUUUAACACCUGGCUCUGAGUCCUGCCCGCACCUUCCAGGCACCACUCACUCCAAUGGCUCCACUCCUGGGCUCCUUGAUACAGACAAGGGCUCUGAUUGGAAACCCUCUGACUCCUCCGUGCUUCUUGGCCUUUGACAAGUUUAUCACAGAUGGGAGAAGGACAUUCUGUUUCUUCAGUGUUAUGGGCUGACUCACUUCCCUCUUCUCUGCAAUAAGCACAAAGGCCAAAGUCAGUCCACUCUACCAAGAAACAGCAAAAUGGCUCUGAGAGUGGUGUCCUUCCGGAUUGGUGUACUGACCAAAAUCCAUCUGCAGAAGAGGCUGAGCCUCCAGACCAUGCAAAGCCUACCUAUUCUGCUACAGAGGAAAUUGCUGCCUCGUACCUGUUUAGCCCAGAUAGCAAAGACAGAGAGACAGAGAUACCCAGAAGUGCCU